AUGAAAUCUCUGCUGCUUUUCCUGUCCCUGUUCUCUGCCCCCUCCUGUGUCCUGUCCCAGGUGCAGCUGGUCCAGACCGGCCCGGGAGCGGUGAAGCCGGGAGCGACCCUCAGUAUCACCUGUAAAGUCUCUGGAGUCUCCGUCAGUGACCACUACUGGAGCUGGAACCGGCAGCCCCCUGGGAAAGGGCUGGAGGGGAUGUGGUUUAUCCGGGAUACAGCUAACGGGGGGACCACAGAGUAUAACUCGGCUCUCAAACCUCGUGUCACCAUCACCAGGGACACCUCGAAAAACGAAGUUUAUCUCCAGCUCGGCUCACUGACAGCUGCAGACACCGGCACCUAUUACUGUGCCAGAUAUACACCCGGGAAGGGGCUGGAGUGGCUGGCCAGGUACUAUGAUCCCUCCAUCCACACUUACGCCUCCUCCAUGCAGGGGAGAUCUACAGCCUUCGAGGACAGCACCACUUUCUGCUUGCGCAUGAACAGCCCGAAAGCCGAGGACACCGCGGUGUAG